rnacentral:tRNA from 1 species
GCAUUGGUACUUCAGUAGUAGAAUUCUCGCCAUCCAUGUGGAAGACCUGGGUUCAAUUCCUGGCCAACGCA